GAGAGAGAGAAGAGAGAGGAGAGAGAGAGGAGAGAAGAGAGAGGAGAGUGAGGGAGGAGAGAGAGGGAGGAUAGCUCUACGAUCUGUCCCCCAGCAGCUGGCUGCACCACAGCCAAACCUGUUUAAGAGCUGCCUAGCUGCCAGAGGAAAUCAGUGGUGUGAACGUUAGGGCUAUACAGCCAAUAACACAGAGAGGUAGACCACUAGGCAGGCAGGGAGACCACUAGUCAGAGAGGGAGACCACUAGUCAGGGAGGGAGACCACUAGUCAGGGAGGGAGACCACUAGGCAGGGAGGGAGACCACUAGGCAGGCAAGGAGGAAGGUCACUAGGCAGGCAGGGAGGAAGGUCACUAGGCAGGCAGGGAGGAAGGUCACUAGGCAGGCAGGGAGGGACACCACUAGGCAGGCAAGGAGGAAGGUCACUAGGCAAGCAGGGAGGGACACCACUCGGCAGGCAGGGAGGAAGGUCAGUAGGCAGGAGUGGGGGACACCACUUGUCAGGGAGGGAGGAAGGUCACUAGGCAGGCAGGGAGGAAGGUCACUAGGCAGGCAGGGGGGACACCACUAGUCAGGGAGGGAUGAAGGUCACUAGGCAGGCAGGGAGGAAGGUCACUAGGUAGGCAGGGGGGACACCACUAGUCAGGGAGGGAGGAAGGUCACUAGGCAGGCAAGGAGGAAGGUUACUAGGCAGGCAGGGCAGGGGGACACCACUAGUCAGGGAGGGAGGAAGGUCACUAGGCAGGCAAGGAGGAAGGUUACUAGGCAGGGGGGGGACACCACUAGUCAGGGAGGGAGGAAGUUCACUAGGCAGGCAGGGAUGUACACCACUAGGCAGGUAGGGAGGAAGGUCACUAGGCAGGCAGGGAGGGACACCACUAGGCAGGCAGGGAGGAAGGUCACUAGGCAGGCAGGGAGGGACACCACUAGGCAGGGAGGGACGGAGACCACUAGGCAGGGAGGGAGACCACUAGGCAGGGAGGGAGACCACUAGUCAGGGAGGGAGACCACUAGUCAGGGAGGGAGACCACUAGUCAGGGGGAUGGAGACC
ensembl:lncRNA